UACGGGGGGGUGCGAGCGUUGUCCGGAAUCACUGGGCGUAAAGGGCGCGUAGGUGGCGUGAUAAGGGUGUGGUGAAAGCCCCGGGGCUCAACCCCGGGUCUGCCAUGCCGACUGUCAGGCUAGAGUACUGUAGGGGCAGGCGGAAUUCCGGGUGUAGCGGUGGAAUGCGUAGAGAUCCGGAGGAAGACCGGUGGCGAAGGCGGCCUGCUGGGCAGUUACUGACACUGAGGCGCGACAGCGUGGGGAGCAAACAGG
rnacentral:rRNA from 1 species